CCUACGGGUGGCUGCAGUGGGGAAUAUUGCACAAUGGGGGAAACCCUGAUGCAGCGACGCCGCGUGAGUGAAGAAGUAAUUCGUUACGUAAAGCUCUAUCAGCAGGGAAGAAAUACUGACCUUACGGUCAGCAGACGGUACCUGAGUAAGAAGCCCCGGCUAACUACGUGCCAGCAGCCGCGGUAAUACGUGGGGGGCAAGCGUUAUCCGGAUGUACUGGGUGUAAAGGGAGCGUAGACGGUGCGCCAAGGCUGGGGGGAAAUGCCGCAGCUUAACUGCGGAACUGCUUUGGAAACUGGCGAACGAGAGUGCGGGAGGGGUAGGCGGAAGUCCUGGUGUAGCGGUGAAAUGCGUAGAUAUUAGGAGGAACACCGGUGGCGAAGGCGGCUUACUGGACCGUAACUGACGUUGAGGCUCGAAAGCGUGGGGAGCAAACAGGAUUAGAUACCCCAGUAGUC
rnacentral:rRNA from 1 species